UGCAGAAUCCCGUGAACCAUCGAGUUUUUGAACGCAAGUUGCGCCCGAAGCCAUUAGGCUGAGGGCACGCCUGCCUGGGCGUCUCAU
rnacentral:rRNA from 1 species